AACUAAAUUGCCUAAAUCUCUUCCUCAUCUGCUGCUCUGUCUUUUAGAGUUGUGAACUGACCUCUUCCUUUUACAGCUAGACAAUUGACAAAUAAGCUGGGUAUAUAAAGAACAUAAGGUAUGAGUUGUCAUUAACAAAUAAGCUGGGUAUAUAAAGAACAUAAGGUAUGAGUUGUCAUUAGCAUAAAAGUCAUAUUAUCAACGAGGGAAAUUGGCACAACCAGACAUCUCAAACAUUGAUAAACAUUGAUAAGGGAAGAAUUAGGCCUUCAUUAGGAUAUUCCUUUCAUCCGCAUGGCAAGGCUUGCCAGUUUCCUGGAGUACACUCGCAUCUGGUUUGAUUCCAAGUAGGUCCUCCCCUAAAGUCGCUUUCAUGUUACCAAGAGGCACGGAUUUAAGCUGUGGAAAUAACGUCUAGUAAAAAUGACCCCUGCAUCGGGGGAGCUUUGGUGUACUGCACUCAAAUAGGUCGAGUAAAGCUGUUCAUCGAAGCUAGUAUGAUGGCUUCGUAGUGAGUGUUGUUGUUGGGAUUUGGAUAUGGAAUCUCCAGGUUGUUACUCGUAUGACUCAACGCUUAACCACCCUUUUAGGACAAUGAAACUUUAUUAUUGCUUCUAGCAAGUUUCUUUUUCCGAUGUGCUAGUUUGUUCAGGGUGUUAACUGUUUAUUCUGAGUAGAGAAUGCAUAAAUAUCAGCCAGUUGCCAGCUUAUUGAAAUUAUACUUUUUGUUUGUUACCUUUGCUACCAUCUGAUAGUUACACGUGGGAAUUUGGAAGGUUUUAUCUGCAUCAUCAACAUAAACUCUCUUAAACUGCAAGUUUGAAUUACACAUAAUUAUUGGUAAUUUUGAAAACGAAAGAGAUUCAUGGUCUACAAAAUGUUACAGAAUUUUGAAGCUAGGGCUUGGGGGCGUGUAUUUCUUCAUUUUGUGUCCCGUUUUCUCUAAAAUAGAUAAGUUUCUUCACUAUACUGAACUAAGCUUACAAAUUUUUCAACUUCCUAUGACUAGUGAUAAAUUUGCAGCAAAAGCAGUCAUUUUGCUUAAUUGAUUUCUGCAGUGGGCUAGUAGCCGAGGCUGAUAUAGAACUUUUUCAGCUUUUAUAGAUAUCAUAUCUUUCGUCUACUGCUGCCUCUGGAAAUUUGUUCCAACUUCCAGAAUGUAGGAAGCAAGAUCAAGUCUGUAAUAUAGCUAAGCUGUUACAACUUUUGGAUCUCAUUGAAUACUCCUUUAUCAAUUUGGAGAAGAAAGAAUCCUCUCUUUCCAAUAGCUUUGCUGGUGUGUCAUAUUCGGCUAUUCUUCCUGUUAAAGGGCAAGUGAAGGAAUUCACAUAUAGAAUUAGAUGCUUAUUCAAUUCAGUAGGAUAAAGAGAUUUAGAUGCAAUAAAAUUUUACCUUCAUUCAAGACUAAGAUAAGGUCACUAUCAAUGACGGUGUGGAUUCUAUGAGCUAUUGUCACAACUGUUCUAUUUCUGAACUCUUGACUGAUAAUCUUUUGUAACACUGCAUCAGUUGCAGCAUCAACUGAUGCUGUUGCUUCAUCCAGAACGAGAAUGCUGCUUUUCUUCAGCAAGGCUCUUCCAAGACAGAAUAGCUGCCUUUGACCAACACUCCAGUUUUCUCCAUUUUCAACCACUGUGAAACUGAAUACAUUAGUAGGUUUCAAGAAGGAAGUAUGUCCUUGUUUCGUAAAAAUUCUGAGGCUUAAGAUUCUACAAUUUUAUCAAGCAAUUUCUAGUCGAACCUGUAGAUUCUAGUUUUUCUGGCUUUCCGCAUAUUAUAUCACCAAGUUGGCAUUUGUCCAGAGCCUGACAAAAGGAGCCGUGACUACAUUAUUCACUGUUCAAAUCACUAGUACUUAAGUAAAUUUCAACUCUUUCCUUGAAUGCAUCAUAAAAACCUAUGUUCCAUUCAUUUAGACUUUGCAAGGCAAGUGCAAGAUCUAUUAGAGGGUUAACAAACUCUUUGUUCUUUUGGUUUGUUACCAUGCAAAAAUGUUGAUUUAUUAGCCAAUCUUGUGAAUUUAAGUGGACUUCUUUGCAUAAUAGUUUUUCAGUACUCAGUGCAAUAAGUACCUCCCAGAUUUCUGUAUCAGAGUGCUGUGCUAGUGGAUCUAGGUUUCCUCUAACUGUUCCCUCAAACAUUGUUGGAUCCUGAGGAAUAAUACUAAGCCUUGACCUCAAAUCAUGAAGACCUAUCUUGCAAAUAUCUAUAUCAUCGAUGCUAAUGCUUCCUUCUUGGGGUUCUACUAUCCGGAAAAGGGCCUGAAUGAGGCUUGAUUUACCACUUCCUGUUCUGCCCACAACACCGACUUUCUUACCUCCCGGCAAUGUGCAUGUUAUGUUUUUCAAAACAGAAGGGAGGUGUUCAGCAUAACGUAUCUGCAGAUAGGGGUAUGGUGAUAAUAUCAGUGGGUGGAAAUAUUAAGUUAAUCAAACUAGAAAAUAUGUAAACAAGUAUAUAAUAUUCCUGCUAGUUUUUGAGUAAAUAUAGCUUUAUUCCUUGCAUCUUUGACAUCUAUUACUACUGGAUGAUAUCCUACUGCGUUAUUGCAAACCUCAUAAUCGAGUCUAGUUUUAUCUUAGCCACAGGAUACUGUCUUUACCUGCAAAGUUUGGAAGGAAAUUGUACCAGUUUCUGGCCAAGUACUUGAUGGUCUGCUAUUUUCAAUCACAAGAGGUGCUUCACUGGCAAGGUUUGAGUACUGGAGAAUCCUUUCAACUGAUAUCAUUUUGUUUUCAGCAUUGCAAAUAUUCCAUAUAACGGAAGCUUGUAAAAUAUUCAAAUUGAUCCCAUAUGUUACUGCUAAUCCUGCAAUGCCUGUAGAAUAUAAAGCACCAUCAGUUUCCUCUGAUUUCUUUUAUGAAGUUGAAGUUCUUAACACCUGUCAUCCACCACUAAAUCAACAAAAAAAAAGAAAGGAACUUCUGAUUAUCCUGACUUUCUUAAGAAACAUGACUUUGAUAGAUUACGUGCUUUUACCAUUUUAGUUCCUACUGUGCUCUACAUAAAAACAUAAAGACAACCAGUUUCUGAUGCUUACUUGGAUUUAUAAUUCCUUCGGGGAGUGUGACUAGCAGAACAAGGGAGAAGGCAAAAACAAAAUUAGAUAGCUGAUUCAGUCUAAAAGAAAGCCACUCCAUUGCUGAUACAUUGUGAAACCAUGGCCUUGAAUGAUCAUCUAUGAAACAAAGGUUUGUGUGCGCAAAGCGAUCUUUUUGGUUGAAAGCACGAAUUGUUGCUGCUCCUGCGAGUGAUUCUCCAAAGUGAUGGAGAAUUGGAGCUCUUUGAACUCCAGAUAAACGAGCAAGCUCCCUUGCAGUUGGUAUGUAGUAUUGCUGGCAGUUUUAACAAAAAUAACUUUAAUUGACAUUUUACAAAAGAAACGUACAGUUUGUUUAUCUCUAAAUAAUAAUUUUACCAAUAUUUUCCCAAACUCCACUUACUGAUGAAUACAAAAUUCUUUUACAAGGUAGCUCAAUGAGAACUGCUUAUUUUAGCAGAAAACUUGGUUUUAUCAUCGUGUCUUCCUACCCUAACUUGACCACUAGAGUACUUUGUCUAAAACACGACAGCAACUUUGUUUUAAUUAUUUAGCAUUCCAAGAAUUAAACAUGUACUGCUUAUUUACCUGGUACCAAAUGCAGACUGCUGUUACUGGAAUAAAGAUGACAAAUACUUCCCAUGCAGCCUGCGACAUGACUGCAAUUGUCCCAAUAAGCUGAAUAAUGGAGAAUGCACACCAACCCAACUUGUUUGCCAUUUCCAAGUCUAGAACACUUUGAUCUGUUGAUACCUGUUCAUGUAAUAAGAUGUCUUGAUGAUUGAUCCAAUAGGAUUUCAUUAAUGAAUCAACUGAAUUUCAGCCUUAGGUUGUAUGAGAAAUAUAAGAGAAGAGUAUUAUUGAAUUGUUGUAUCUACAUUAUUACAAUGAGAGCCUAUUUAUAUACAUUACAUUCCAAUCCUUUUCCAAGCAGGACACUACAUUACAAUCCUUUUUCAAGUAGGAUUCUGUAUACUAUUCCUUCUCCUACUCAAUAUUCUCACUUCCCGCUCAAGAUGGUGCAUACAAGUCAUAUGUGUACCAAGCUUGUCAUGGAUGUAAUUAAUACGAGGAUUAGUGAGGGACUUGGUCAAGAUAUCUGUAAGAAAACCGAUAAGGACUGCUCCAGACGUAUGGGCGAUCACAGUUGAAAAGGAACAAACUAAAAGAGUGGUCAGUUGUCGCUGGAAAGUCGAUUUGUCGCUGGAAAGUUGUCGGAAACUGGUAUAAAAUAUAUGGGUCAUCUCGAAAUCAAGAGAUAAGUAGAUCUUCAAUAAGAAAGACACUGAAAAACUAGCCGGAACAUGCUCACACAUCGAAUUAUUAGAUUUGGUGGCUAAAAAGUGGUCGGAAUUUGGGAAAAAAUUAUAUGGAUAGGGUCGGAAUGGUGAGAUGACCUACUGAGAAAGAGAAAUUAUAUGGCUAGGGUUGAAAUGAUGGCACGACCCUACUGCAAAAUAGAUUGUAUAUGUAGGGUCGGAAUGACGGCAUGCAACGAGAAAUUAUAUGGGUAGGGUUGGAAUGACGGCACGAUCCUAUUGAAAAAGAGAGAUUAUAUGGGAAGGAUCAGAAAGAUGCAUGAAACUAUGCAAAUCAGAUUUGAGGAGUGACCGGAAAGACGCACGAAACUCUGCAAAUCAGAUUUGAGGAGUCACCGGAAAGACGCACGAAAUGAUGCAAAUUAGAUCUGAGUAGUCAUCGGAACAAUGCAUGGUGCUAUGCAAUUUGGAUAUCAGAAAGUAGUUCGAAAAGAUGCACGGUACUAUGCAAAUUAAAUAUGAGAAAUAGUUUGGAGAAAUGUACGGUUCUACGAAAUUAGAUAUGAGAAAGUAGUCACCGAAAAUAUUCACGGUGCUAUGCAAAUCAGAUAUGAGAAAAUAGUCAUCGGAAAGAAACAUGUUGACCCAAUCUUUUGCUAACAUGAUCAUUGGCCAGACGGGCAGCAUUUAUGAGUUAUAGCAGCCCGCCGGCAACGAAAGUUCUUUGAUUCUCUACCAAGAUCAUAGAGGCUUUGAUCCCACAUGAGAAAUAUAAGAGAAGUAUAUUAUUGAAUCGUUGUAUCUAUAUUAUUUAUGGACACUACAUUCCAAUCCUUUUCCAAGCAGGAUACUACAUUACAAUCAUUGUUCACGUAGGAUUCUGUAUAUUAUUCCUUCUCCUACUCAUAUUCUAACAAGUUCUAGAGGUUAAGACAAGAAUUUACACUUCACUUCACUUUUGUCAUGUUUUUAUCUUGACUAUCUUAUUAUGAUAUUUCUCUGUGGAUUAACUUGUGAGUUACGUUGGUUGAGAGGACAAAUUCAGAUACACCGGAAAACGCCUACUUGCUUUAUGCAGUUGUGAGAUAUUAGCUAACAUUCCAUUACUUAGCUUAUAUCAAAUAUGUUCCUCCAACUUAUAGCUUUUAUCAUGCCUGAUUUCUUCCUAUUUAUUCCUUUUUAACAUGUACCAAGGAUAUGUACCUAUCCGUGUAGAUGCAGGAUAAGCAAAACUACCCAACUAUUACUACAUAUGCAGGAUGAAUACUAGGCUAAAUCCACACAUCUCAUUCAAAUUAAGGGAUGUAAACUGCAGCUGAUAUGCUGUCCUCAUAUCCGAUCCCAAUCAACUAACUUUGAUUUACUUACUCGAUUUAAGAUUCUUCCUGUAGGAGUAGAGUCAAAGAAUGACAUAGGAGCACGAAGGAUGCUGUGCAGCAUGCUUCUAAAGAGCUUUUCUGCUGUUCGAAGGCCUGUUAUAACGACAAAUGAUGACCGGACUAGCACACAAAGAGAAC
rnacentral:lncRNA from 1 species